rnacentral:rRNA from 1 species
AGGACGAACGCUGGCGGCGUGCUUAACACAUGCAAGUCGAGCGGAAAGGCCCUUCGGGUACUCGAGCGGCGAACGGGUGAGUAACACGUGGGCAACCUGCCCCUAGCACUGGGAUAACUCCGGGAAACCGGGGCUAAUACCGGAUAUGACCUUUGAGGGCAUCCUCGAAGGUGUAAAGGAUUCUGGCUAGGGAUGGGCCCGCGGCCUAUCAGCUUGUUGGUGGGGUAAUGGCCUACCAAGGCGACGACGGGUAGCCGGCCUGAGAGGGCGACCGGCCACACUGGGACUGAGACACGGCCCAGACUCCUACGGGAGGCAGCAGUGGGGAAUAUUGCACAAUGGGCGAAAGCCUGAUGCAGCGACGCCGCGUGAGGGAUGACGGCCUUGGGUUGGUAAACCUCUUUCAGCAGGGACGAAGCGAAAGUGACGGUACCUGCAGAAGAAGCACCGGCCAACUACGCGCCAGCAGCCGC